UACGAAGGUGGCGAAUGUUGUUCGGAUUUACUGGGCGUAAAGCGUCCGCAGGUGGUUUAUUAAGUCAGGUGUGAAAGCCCCGCGCUCAACGUGGGAAUUGCAUUUGAAACUGGUAAACUGGAAGGCGAGAGAGGUGGGCGGAAUUGCAGGUGUAGAAGUGAAAUUCGUAGAUAUCUGCAGGAACACCCAUGGCGAAGGCAGCCCACUGGCUCGCUCUUGACACUCAUGGACGAAAGCGUGGGGAGCAAACAGG
rnacentral:rRNA from 1 species